rnacentral:rRNA from 1 species
UACGUAGGGGGCAAGCGUUGUCCGGAAUUAUUGGGCGUAAAGCGCGCGCAGGCGGCUUUGUAAGUCUAGUGUUUAAUCUCGGAGCUCAACUCCGAUUCGCACCGGAAACUGCAAGGCUUGAGUACAGAAGAGGAAAGUGGAAUUCCACGUGUAGCGGUGAAAUGCGUAGAGAUGUGGAGGAACACCAGUGGCGAAGGCGGCUGCCUGGCCCAAUACUGACACUCAGGUGCGACAGCGUGGGGAGCAAACAGG